AACGAACGCUGGCGGCGUGCCUAACACAUGCAAGUCUGACGGGAAAAUUUCCUUCGGGGGGUGAGUACCGUGGCGAACGGGUGAGUAACACGUGGGUAACCUGCCCUUGGGAUAGGGAUAACCUUGCGAAAGCGAGGCUAAUACCUGUUAAGACCACGUCCCGCAUGCGGGAUGCGGUAAAAGGUGGCCUCUUCAUGAAAGCUACCGCCUGAGGAUGGGCCCGCGGCCUAUUAGCUUGUUGGUAGGGUAACGGCCUACCAAGGCGACGAUGCGUAGCCGACCUGAGAGGGUGAUCGGCCACACUGGGACUGAGACACGGCCCAGACUCCUACGGGAGGCAGCAGUGGGGAAUAUUGGACAAUGGGGGCAACCCUGAUCCAGCAAUGCCGCGUGUGUGAAGAAGGCUUUCGGGUUGUAAAGCACUUUCAGCGAGGAAGAAAGCCUCUGGGCCAAUACCCCAGAGGAAGGACAUCACUCGCAGAAGAAGCACCGGCUAACUCCGUG
rnacentral:rRNA from 1 species